CACCCAUGUCUUUUGCGCACUUGUUGUUUCCUGGGCGGGUUCGCCCGCCACCAGGACCAAACCAUAAACCUUUUUUUUUUUAUGCAGUUGCAAUCAGCGUCAGUAAAAACAAUGUAAUUAUUACAACUUUCAACAACGGAUCUCUUGGUUCUGGCAUCGAUGAAGAACGCAGCGAAAUGCGAUACGUAGUGUGAAUUGCAGAAUUCAGUGAAUCAUCGAAUCUUUGAACGCACAUUGCGCCCUUUGGUAUUCCAAAGGGCAUGCCUGUUCGAGCGUCAUUUGUACCUUCAAGCUUUGCUUGGUGUUGGGCGUUUUGUCUCUCUCUUUCUGGGAGACUCGCCUCAAAACGAUUGGCAGCCGGCCUACUGGUCUCGGAGCGCAGCACAUAUUUUGCGCUUUGUAUCAGGAGAAAAGGACGGUGAUCCAUCAAGACUCAUCAUUUCAACUUUUGACCUCGGAUCAGGUAGGGAUACCCGCUGAACUUAAGCAUAUCAAA
rnacentral:rRNA from 1 species